GACUAUACAUGCAAGUCGAGCGAACAGAUGAAGUGCUUGCACUUCUGACGUUAGCGGCGAACGGGUGAGUAACACGUAAGGAAUCUACCUAUAAGCGGGGGAUAACAUUCGGAAACGGGUGCUAAUACCGCAUAAUAUCUUCUUCCGCAUGGAAGAAGAUUGAAAGACGGCUCUGCUGUCACUUAUAGAUGACCUUGCGGUGCAUUAGUUAGUUGGUGGGGUAACGGCCUACCAAGACGAUGAUGCAUAGCCGACCUGAGAGGGUGAUCGGCCACAUUGGGACUGAGACACGGCCCAAACUCCUACGGGAGGCAGCAGUAGGGAAUCUUCCGCAAUGGGCGAAAGCCUGACGGAGCAAUGCCGCGUGAGUGAAGAAGGCCUUCGGGUCGUAAAACUCUGUUAUAAGAGAAGAACAAAUUGUAGAGUAACUGCUACAGUCUUGACGGUAUCUUAUCAGAAAGCCACGGCUAACUACGUGCCAGCAGCCGCGGUAAUACGUAGGUGGCAAGCGUUGUCCGGAUUUAUUGGGCGUAAAGGGAGCGCAGGUGGUUUCUUAAGUCUGAUGUGAAAGCCCACGGCUUAACCGUGGAGGGUCAUUGGAAACUGGGAAACUUGAGUACAGAAGAGGAAUGUGGAACUCCAUGUGUAGCGGUGGAAUGCGUAGAUAUAUGGAAGAACACCAGUGGCGAAGGCGACAUUCUGGUCUGUUACUGACACUGAGGCUCGAAAGCGUGGGGAGCAAACAGGAUUAGAUACCCUGGUAGUCCACGCCGUAAACGAUGAGUGCUAGGUGUUGGAGGGUUUCCGCCCUUCAGUGCCGCAGUUAACGCAUUAAGCACUCCGCCUGGGGAGUACGACCGCAAGGUUGAAACUCAAAGGAAUUGACGGGGACCCGCACAAGCGGUGGAGCAUGUGGUUUAAUUCGAAGCAACGCGAAGAACCUUACCAAGUCUUGACAUCCUUUGACCACCCUAGAGAUAGGGCUUUCCCUUCGGGGACAAAGUGACAGGUGGUGCAUGGUUGUCGUCAGCUC
rnacentral:rRNA from 1 species